rnacentral:rRNA from 1 species
AAUGGGUCAGCGACUUAUAUUCUGUAGCAAGGUUAACCGUAUAGGGGAGCCGGAGGGAAACCGAGUCUUAACCGGGCGUUAAGUUGCAGGGUAUAGACCCGAAACCCGGUGAUCUAGCCAUGGGCAGGUUGAAGGUUGGGUAACACUAACUGGAGGACCGAACCGACUAAUGUUGAAAAAUUAGCGGAUGACCUGUGGCUGGGGGUGAAAGGCCAAUCAAACCGGGAGAUAGCUGGUUCUCCCCGAAAGCUAUUUAGGUAGCGCCUCGUGAAUUCAUCUCCGGGGGUAGAGCACUGUUUCGGCUAGGGGGCCAUCCCGGCUUACCAACCCGAUGCAAACUGCGAAUACCGGAGAAUGUUAUCACGGGAGACACACGGCGGGUGCUAACGUCCGUCGUGAAGAGGGAAACAACCCAGACCGCCAGCUAAGGUCCCAAAGUCAUGGUUAAGUGGGAAACGAUGUGGGAAGGCCCAGACAGCCAGGAUGUUGGCUUAGAAGCAGCCAUCAUUUAAAGAAAGCGUAAUAGCUCACUGGUCGAGUCGGCCUGCGCGGAAGAUGUAACGGGGCUAAACCAUGCACCGAAGCUGCGGCAGCGACACUGUGUGUUGUUGGGUAGGGGAGCGUUCUGUAAGCCUGUGAAGGUGUGCUGUGAGGCAUGCUGGAGGUAUCAGAAGUGCGAAUGCUGACAUAAGUAACGAUAAAGCGGGUGAAAAGCCCGCUCGCCGGAAGACCAAGGGUUCCUGUCCAACGUUAAUCGGGGCAGGGUGAGUCGACCCCUAAGGCGAGGCCGAAAGGCGUAGUCGAUGGGAAACGGGUUAAUAUUCCCGUACUUGGUGUUACUGCGAAGGGGGGACGGAGAAGGCUAUGUUGGCCGGGCGACGGUUGUCCCGGUUUAAGCGUGUAGGUGUGUGUUCCAGGUAAAUCCGGUUCACUUUAACACUGAGGCGUGAUGACGAGGCACUACGGUGCUGAAGCAACAAAUGCCCUGCUUCCAGGAAAAGCCUCUAAGCAUCAGGUAACAUCAAAUCGUACCCCAAACCGACACAGGUGGUCAGGUAGAGAAUACCAAGGCGCUUGAGAGAACUCGGGUGAAGGAACUAGGCAAAAUGGUGCCGUAACUUCGGGAGAAGGCACGCUGACACGUAGGUGAAGUGAUUUACUCACGGAGCUGAAGUCAGUCGAAGAUACCAGCUGGCUGCAACUGUUUAUUAAAAACACAGCACUGUGCAAACACGAAAGUGGACGUAUACGGUGUGACGCCUGCCCGGUGCCGGAAGGUUAAUUGAUGGGGUCAGCGCAAGCGAAGCUCCUGAUCGAAGCCCCGGUAAACGGCGGCCGUAACUAUAACGGUCCUAAGGUAGCGAAAUUCCUUGUCGGGUAAGUUCCGACCUGCACGAAUGGCGUAAUGAUGGCCAGGCUGUCUCCACCCGAGACUCAGUGAAAUUGAACUCGCUGUGAAGAUGCAGUGUACCCGCGGCAAGACGGAAAGACCCCGUGAACCUUUACUAUAGCUUGACACUGAACAUUGAGCCUUGAUGUGUAGGAUAGGUGGGAGGCUUUGAAGCGUGGACGCCAGUCUGCGUGGAGCCGACCUUGAAAUACCACCCUUUAAUGUUUGAUGUUCUAACGUGGACCCGUGAUCCGGGUUGCGGACAGUGUCUGGUGGGUAGUUUGACUGGGGCGGUCUCCUCCUAAAGAGUAACGGAGGAGCACGAAGGUUGGCUAAUCCUGGUCGGACAUCAGGAGGUUAGUGCAAUGGCAUAAGCCAGCUUGACUGCGAGCGUGACGGCGCGAGCAGGUGCGAAAGCAGGUCAUAGUGAUCCGGUGGUUCUGAAUGGAAGGGCCAUCGCUCAACGGAUAAAAGGUACUCCGGGGAUAACAGGCUGAUACCGCCCAAGAGUUCAUAUCGACGGCGGUGUUUGGCACCUCGAUGUCGGCUCAUCACAUCCUGGGGCUGAAGUAGGUCCCAAGGGUAUGGCUGUUCGCCAUUUAAAGUGGUACGCGAGCUGGGUUUAGAACGUCGUGAGACAGUUCGGUCCCUAUCUGCCGUGGGCGCUGGAGAACUGAGGGGGGCUGCUCCUAGUACGAGAGGACCGGAGUGGACGCAUCACUGGUGUUCGGGUUGUCAUGCCAAUGGCACUGCCCGGUAGCUAAAUGCGGAAGAGAUAAGUGCUGAAAGCAUCUAAGCACGAAACUUGCCCCGAGAUGAGUUCUCCCUGAGACUACGAGUCUCCUGAAGGAACGUUGAAGACGACGACGUUGAUAGGCCGGGUGUGUAAGCGCAGCGAUGCGUUGAGCUAACCGGUACUAAUGAACCGUGAGGCUUAACCUUAC